GCCCGGUUAGCUCAAUCGGUAGAGGUUAGUUAACUCCCACACAAUCCUGUCUUCAAAACACAAUACUAACUGGCUCAAUAGCGUGAGACUCUUAAUCUCAAGGUUGCGGGUUCGACCCCCGCAUCGGGCU